GUAUUGUCAUAACUUACGAACAGUAAUCUUUUGAUUUUGUCCUUCCUUCUGUUAUCUUGUGUCUUUUCCUCAUGACAGACAGGAAAUUAUGUGUGGCUUAGGAACUAAGGGCUUCGAGUCAGAUUUAUCCUUUAAAUUUCUGUUCACAAUACACUUGUAUCUUUCUUAUUGUCUUUCUAUGCAGUAAUCUUUUGAUUUUGUCCUUCCUUCUGUUAUCUUGUGUCUUUUCCUCAUGACAGACAGGAAAAUCAAAGCAUUUUGGCUUCAUAGAAUUUGAGUCCCCUGAGGUUGCUAAAGUGGUUGCGGAUACUAUGCAUAACUAUCUAUUGUUUGAGCACUUGUUGCAAGUUCGUCUUAUUCCUCCUGAACAUGUUCAUCCCAGAUUGUAAGAGUUUCAUUUUUUUAAAUGAAUUGUUAUGGAUUAAAUUCAUCUUGUAAUUUCAUAUUUUUUGGAUCGCUAAGUGGAAGAGCUCUUCAACGCUCUUUUCUUUUC